GAUCGAACGGCCGGCGGUGUGCCUAAUACAUGCAAGUCGUACGCACGUGGCCCGAACUAAAGUUGAUGGUGCUUGCACCUGAUUGACGAUGGAUCACCAGUGAGUGGCGGACGGGUGAGUAACACGUAGGUAACCUGCCCCGGAGCGGGGGAUAACAUUUGGAAACAGAUGCUAAUACCGCAUAACAACAAAAGCCGCAUGGCUUUUGUUUGAAAGAUGGCUUUGGCUAUCACUCUGGGAUGGACCUGCGGUGCAUUAGCUAGUUGGUAAGGUAACGGCUUACCAAGGCGAUGAUGCAUAGCCGAGUUGAGAGACUGAUCGGCCACAAAUGGAAACUGAGACACGGUCCAU
rnacentral:rRNA from 1 species